AGUCCUCUUAAUUAUGUCUUUUGCCAAUGAACCUAAUCUUUAAACUCUUUAGGUUGUAACUGACAUGUUUGUACUUGCUUGAACCAACUAAUUCAGUUUGUCACUGGUUUUCUCAACAGAACAUUGAUACUGCUGUGCGUAAUUGGUUGUGUUGGUUACCCCCGUGGCAAGUCGACAGUGCAGUGCCGUCCAGCUCCUCUCCCUCUC